CGAACGAUGAAGCCCUUCGGGGUGGAUUAGUGGCGAACGGGUGAGUAACACGUGGGCAAUCUGCCCUGCACUCUGGGACAAGCCCUGGAAACGGGGUCUAAUACCGGAUACGAGCCUCCAGGGCAUCUUGGAGGUUGGAAAGCUCCGGCGGUGCAGGAUGAGCCCGCGGCCUAUCAGCUUGUUGGUGAGGUAAUGGCUCACCAAGGCGACGACGGGUAGCCGGCCUGAGAGGGCGACCGGCCACACUGGGACUGAGACACGGCCCAGACUCCUACGGGAGGCAGCAGUGGGGAAUAUUGCACAAUGGGCGCAAGCCUGAUGCAGCGACGCCGCGUGAGGGAUGACGGCCUUCGGGUUGUAAACCUCUUUCAGCAGGGAAGAAGCGAGAGUGACGGUACCUGCAGAAGAAGCGCCGGCUAACUACGUGCCAGCAGCCGCGGUAAUACGUAGGGCGCGAGCGUUGUCCGGAAUUAUUGGGCGUAAAGAGCUCGUAGGCGGCUUGUCACGUCGGGUGUGAAAGACCGGGGCUUAACUCCGGUUCUGCAUUCGAUACGGGCUAGCUAGAGUUCGGUAGGGGAGAUCGGAAUUCCUGGUGUAGCGGUGAAAUGCGCAGAUAUCAGGAGGAACACCGGUGGCGAAGGCGGAUCUCUGGGCCGAUACUGACGCUGAGGAGCGAAAGCGUGGGGAGCGAACAGGAUUAGAUACCCUGGUAGUCCACGCCGUAAACGGUGGGCACUAGGUGUGGGCGACAUUCCACGUCGUCCGUGCCGCAGCUAACGCAUUAAGUGCCCCGCCUGGGGAGUAC
rnacentral:rRNA from 1 species